UUAAUUUUCUUUCUCUCUCACACACAAACACGCACACACACACACACAUCGCUCUAUUUAUUUUUAAGACUAAUAAUAAAUUAUAUAUUUAUACAUUAUAAUCUCUUCCUCUUCAGCUUCAGCCACAUUUUUUUCUCUCUCUAAAAUUACAUUUUCUCUCACUUGUCUAGGUCGUAAAAAUUACAAAGAUCGGAGAAUUGAGGUGUUGCCGUUGGAAUUAAGUUAAGGAAUUAGGGUUUGUGACGAUUUAAUUGCGAUCGAGGUUGGGAAUUUGGGAUUUCUAGAAAAUUGGGGAUUUUGCUAGGGUUUUGGUGGGUGUUUGAGGGUGGAAAAGAUGCAAGUCGAUUUGUAUUAUUAUGCAUGGGAAGGUACAAAGGGAAAGUGAAUUUUGUAGAGGCGGUAGUCAGCACAUGCCGGUAGAUUCCUCUGUUGUUUCUAAUAUUACCGAUGAUUCGUUCUGCAAGGAUGGUCGCAAAGUUAGCGUGGGUGAUUGUGCUUUGUUCAAACCACCUCACGAUUCCCCUCCUUUCAUUGGAAUAAUCCGAAGGCUAAAUUUGAGUGAAGAAAAUAACCUGCAGUUAGGUGUUAAUUGGCUUUAUCGACCUGCUGAGCUUAAGCUUGGCAAGGGCAUCCUCCCGGAAGCCGCACCCAACGAAAUCUUUUAUUCCUUUCAUAGGGAUGAGAUUCUUGCUGCAUCACUACUGCAUCCGUGUAAAGUUGCAUUCCUUUCCAAAGGUGCUGAACUUCCAACAGGGAUAUCCUCAUUUGUCUGCCGGCGUGUUUAUGAUAUUUCAAACAAGUGUUUAUGGUGGUUAACUGACCAAGAUUACAUCAAAGAGCUACAAGAAGAAGUAGGUCAACUAUUAAACAAGACGCGAGUUGAGAUGCAUGCAACAGUGCAACCGGGUGGUCGUUCUCCGAAACCAAUGAAUGGUUCCAUGUCGACAUCACAAUUGAAACCAGGUGGAGAUAGUAUUCAAAGCAGUGUAACUUCUUUUCCUCCACAUGUCAAGGGAAAGAAGAGGGAGCGGGGAGAUCAAGGCUCUGAAUCAAUUAAACGUGAACGUUCAAUCAAAACAGAUGAUACAGAUUCUGGUCAAAUCAAAGCUGAAAGCGUAUUGAAAUCUGAAAUUUCUAAAAUUACGGAGAAAGGAGGGCUUAUUAACUCUGAAGGGGUUGAGAAGCUAGUUCACCUCAUGCAGCCAGAUAGAAAUGAGAGGAAAAUGGAUUUGAUCAGUCGUUCAAUGCUUGCAAGUGUUGUAGCUGCAACUGAAAAUUUUGACUGUCUUACUAGGUUUGUACAGUUAAGGGGUCUACCUGUGUUAGACGAGUGGCUUCAAGAUGUUCAUAAGGGGCGGAUUGGUGAAUGUAGUAACACAAAAGACGGUGAAAAAUUGGUUGAAGAAUUUCUCUUUGUUUUGCUCCGUGCACUUGACAAGCUUCCCGUAAACCUUCAAGCACUGCAGAUGUGCCAUAUUGGCAGGUCUGUUAAUCACUUGCGGCAGCAUAAAAACACAGAGAUACAGAGGAAGGCACGAAGUUUAGUUGAUACGUGGAAGAAACGGGUUGAAGCUGAGAUGAACAUCAUUGAUGCCAAGUCUGGUUCAAAUCAGGCUGUCUCGUGGCCUUCUAAAUCAAGGUUGCCCGAGGCUUCUCAUAGUAUUAGCAAAAAUCCCGGUGGUUCAAAUGAUGUGACAAAGAGUGCAGUUGCACAUAUUUCUGCAUCUAAAAUGGCCUCGAUAAAGACUUCACAAGGGGAGCCUACUAUAAAGUCUGCGUCCUUGUCCCCGAGCUCAACAAAACGUGCAUCAUCACCUGCAUCUGGAAAAGAGGGUCAGCUCAGAGUUUCGGUCGGUGGGUCUUGUGAUGUUCCUUUAGCUAGGGAAGACAAGAGCAGCAGUUCUAGCCAGUCUCACAACCAGAGUCAGUCGCUCUCGGGGAAAGAGGACGGGAGGAGUUCAACUGCAGUGUCAAUGAACAGCAUCAAGAUCUCUACUGGUGGUUCUCGUCACCGGAAGUCAAAUAAUGGAUAUCCUGGAUCAUCAGUAUCUGGAGGCCAAAAGGAGAGUCCUUCAGGCAGAAGUUCGCAUAGAAAUCCUACCUCAGAAAAGUUACCGCAGUCUGCAUUGAGUGGUGAGAGAACUGUUGAUAUGCCAGUUCUCGAGGGGAGUGGUCACAAAUUGAUAGUUAAGAUAUCUAACAGGGGACGCAGUCCUGCACAAAGUGCCAGUGGAGGAUCCUAUGAGGACCCUACCAACAUGAGCAGCCGAGCUUCUUCGCCUGUACUUUCUGAAAAGAAUGAUCAAUUUGACCGAACAGUAAAGGAAAAGACUGAUGCAUAUAGAUCAAAUUUUGAGGCGAAUGCUGAAUCAUCAUGGCAGAGCAAUGAUUUCAAAGAUAUACUAACUGGUUCUGAGGGCAGCGAUGGAUCACCAGCUGCUGCUCCAGAGGACGAGCGAAGCAAGAUUGUUGAUGACAACAGGAAAUCAGCAGAAGUUAGAGCUGCUUGUACAUCAGGGACUGAACCGAAGUCUGGAAAGCUGCAUGAAGCCUCUUUUAGCUCCAUGAAUGCUUUGAUUGAGAGCUGUGUAAAAUAUUCGGAAUCAAACGUGCCUAUGUUACUGGGUGAUGCUAUUGGAAUGAAUCUCCUUGCCAGUGUGGCUGCUGAAGAAAUGUCCAUGUCUGACAUGGUUUCGCGUUCUGUUUCUCCGCAAAGAAAUAUACCUGCUGCUGAAGAGGCUUGCACAGGUGAUGGCGUUAAGUCAAAGUCACCUCCUGCUGAUAUCUCCGCUGGUGACCGUGGAAAUGAUGAUGAUGGUAAUAGGGAGAAGCUCGUUAGUGCUAGUGCUUCAUGGUCCGAGGAUAAACUCUCCAAGGGUGCUGCAAUGGAGCUAUCUGGAGAUAGAAAGGCCUCCUUUUCACCUUCUCAAGAGACAAUGACAGGUGGAUGCAAUAAACAGUUCAACUCUGCCUGCACCGAUUCACAGCAGGCUGGAGAAAAGUUGGAGAUCACUGAGAAGUCAGGUGAGGUGGAAAUUGAUGAUGAAUUAAGCAAACAAUUCCAGGAGGAAAAGGUGGUGUCCCAUGAGGUCAAAGUUGAAGGUGCUGUAGAUGCUAAAUUUGGAGAUGGUACUUCAAUAUCAGGAGACAGGGUCACUAAUGCAGUUGCAAGCUUAGAAGACCAGAAACCGACAGUUGAAGUCUGUACUUCUGACUUUGAAAGUGAGAACAAAAAUGGUGUGAACAGGCUGUUGAACAUUGCUAGUACCGAGAUGAAACAAUCUUCUGUUUUGGUAAAAUCUGAAAAGAUUCAGGGAAGUGACAAGGAAGAGCCCCUACCGACUAGCUCAAGUGGAGAUCCCACCACAGCAACAGGUGGACAGUCUGAUGAAGCAAGUAUAAAUCUUGUUAAUCUGUCUGAAAAGACAAAAUCUGAUCCGGGAAGUGUUGAAGCUUCAGUUGAGGAUAAAGCCUGUUGUGAAAUCGACUUUACUAUAAGAAAUCAGAAGGGUGAAGCUAGUGUUGACCGGAAGGAUGUUGUCCCUCUGCAGAACUCUGGCCUCUUACUCAAUCAGAAAGAGAGACUUGGGUUUUCAAAUGCAGAACUGCAGAAACAUGGGGAAGCUAGAGAAUCAAACUUCCCUGCUGUUGGCGCAGAUAAGACAACGGACUGUGGAUCUUCCAAUGCAGAGACUUCUUCUGUCUCUGCUGCUCCGGAGUCAGCUUCAAAGGUGAAGUUUGACUUAAAUGAAGGUUUUAUUUCUGAUGAAGGGAAAUACGGGGAGCCAAUCAACUUUACAGCCCCUGGAUGUUUAUCAAAUGUCCAUAUUAUGAACCCGUUGCCUUUUGCUGUAUCCUCAGUUUCAUGUAGUCUGCCUGCUUCCAUUACUGUAGCUGCCGCGGCCAAAGGUCCGUUUGUUCCACCGGAGGAGCUAUUGAGGGUCAAAGGGGAGUUCGGCUGGAAAGGGUCUGCUGCAACAAGUGCAUUUCGCCCAGCUGAGCCCAGAAAAUCUCUAGAUAUGCCAUUAAGUUCCACAACCAUAUCUCAUUCUGAAGCUUCUACCAGCAAGCACAGUCGCCCUCAAUUAGAUAUCGACCUGAAUGUACCAGAUGAAAGAACCUUUGACGACAUAAAUGGUCAAGAUUCUGCUCUAGAGUUGAUCUCUCCAUUGGACCAUAUGGCUAAUCGUGCUUCAUUGAAGGAUGAAGUGAUAGAUUCUCCUGCUGUUCGUUGUUCUGGAGGACUGGAUCUUGAUUUAAAUAGACUUGAUGAACCUGGUGAUGCGGGACAGUGCUCUGUGAGUAGCAGUUGUAGAUUGGACGGUGCAAUUUUUCCUUCCAAAGCAUCAUCGAUUGGCUUGCCCACUGGGGAUGUGAGGAGGGACUUUGAUUUAAAUAAUGGGCCUGGUGUCGAUGAUUUCAGCACAGAACAGUCUCUAUUCCACGAUAAUCAUCAGGGAAGCAUGCGGUCCCAACUGCCUGCUUCUAACCUCAGACUGAACAAUCCAGAAAUGGGGAACCUUUCUUCUUGGUUUACUCCUGGGAGUACUUAUUCAACUGUGACACUUCCAUCGAUUUUGCCUGAUCGUGUGGAGCAGCCGCCAUUCCCAGUAGUCACACCUGGUGCGCAACGAAUCUUGGGUCCUACUGCUGGUUCUCCUUUCACCCCGGAUGUUUAUCGGAGUUCGGUAUUGUCAUCAUCGCCUGCCAUGCCCUUCCCAUCCUCCCCUUUCCCGUAUCCUGUAUUUCCUUUGACAAAAAGUUUCGCACUUCCUUCUGCAACAUUCUCAGUUGGAUCAACUUCUUUCGUUGAUUCUUCCACUGGUGGAAGGAUUUAUACGCCAUCUGUAAAUUCACAGCUGCUGGGUCCUGUUGGGGCUGUGUCAUCUCAAUAUCCGAGGCCGUAUAUGGUUGGCCUUCCUGACAGUAACAACAACGGUACCAUGGACCACAAUAGAAAAUGGGGCAGGCAGGGUCUGGAUCUUAAUGCAGGCCCUGGAGUGGUGGACAUGGAAGGGAGAGAGGAGUCGGUUUCUUUGACCUCAAGACAACUCUCUGCUGCCGGUUCACAAGCAUUAGCUGAGGAGCAUGGUAGGAUGUAUGCUGUACCAGGGGGUCCUCUGAAGAGGAAGGAGCCUGAGGGAGGAUGGGACAGUGAGAGCUUCAGGUUCAAGCAGUCAUGGCAUUAAGAUCAUGAAAAGCUGCAAUCUGGUGAUUUUGGAAGGGAAGCACUAGGACAUCUCAUGCAUUAAAAUUGUGUACCACACACUGUAAGCUUGUGGAUUUUUAUAUGUUUGAGCUGUUAUUCCUGUGCAGAAACUGUGAUACACAACCAAUGAAAAGGAGAGACGUUCGUGCACAAUUAUUUUAAAGGUUUUCUGCUGGAGCAUGUGUCCUUUUUUCUAGUUUGAUUUAUUUUGAAAGAACAAGGAUAUCUCAGAAGUUGGAAGUGUUUGUUGGGUCUUCUGUCCUAAUUAUCAAGACAUAACUAUUGCUUUCCUCUCCUUCCUGCUACUGGAGGAUGGACCUUCCCAGACUCUCAGCUUCUGGUGUGCUCCUGCAGGGUUGGUGGUAAGUGAGCAAAGUUGAUGUGUUCAGAGUCUCCGACCACCACAUCUUCAGCAUAUCAGAGUAGUAGGGAAUUCCAUGGUUUGCAAGCACUUUGGUCAGCUGUAUUCUCUGGGUGGAUGCAGAUAGAGUUUUCCCUCUGUAGAUAUUUAACUGUUGGAAAGCUUGAAAUCUUUGACGCCUAGGGACUGGGGGAUAAAUUAAUGCUAUCCUUGUCCAAAUUAUUGACAUUGGAGGUGGAUUCCAGACUGAAUCAAAUGGAAAGCUUUCUUCUUUGUGCUUUGCUGUUAAUCAUCUUUCAAAGAUCACCGUGUUCUUGGCAUUUCUGUGUCUUUUUUUUGCCCAUUACAUAUGUAUACAGGGGUUGGCACCAAAUUUUGGUACUAAUGCUUUCAUCAGGCAUGUUUUAGUUGUUGUGGCUGCCAUUUGUACCAUAAAUUGAAUCAGUCUAACUUUAGCUGUAGUCUCAUUCACAGAUGAUAGAACUCUUGUUAAAGAUGAUAUUUUCAUUGGUGGUGGUGA